GCCAGACUCCUACGGGAGGCAGCAGUGAGGAAUAUUGGUCAAUGGGCGGAAGCCUGAACCAGCCAAGUCGCGUGAGGGAAGAAGGCCCUGCGGGUCGCAGACCUCUUUGGACGGGGAGCAAGGCCGCCGACGUGUCGGCGGAAGGAGAGUACCCGUAGAACAAGCAUCGGCUAACUCCGUGCCAGCAGCCGCGGUAAUACGUAGGUGGCAAGCGUUAUCCGGAUUUACUGGGUGUAAAGGGCGUGUAGGCGGGAGAGCAAGUCAGACGUGAAAUUCCAGGGCUCAACCCUGGAACUGCGUUUGAAACUGUUCUUCUUGAGUGAUGGAGAGGCAGGCGGAAUUCCGUGUGUAGCGGUGAAAUGCGUAGAUAUACGGAGGAACACCAGUGGCGAAGGCGGCCUGCUGGACAUUAACUGACGCUGAGGCGCGAAAGCGUGGGUAUCGAACAGGAUUAGAUACCCGCGUAU
rnacentral:rRNA from 1 species